rnacentral:rRNA from 1 species
AUUGAACGCUGGCGGCAGGCUUAACACAUGCAAGUCGAGCGGAGAUGAGGUGCUUGCACCUUAUCUUAGCGGCGGACGGGUGAGUAAUGCUUAGGAAUCUGCCUAUUAGUGGGGGACAACAUUCCGAAAGGAAUGCUAAUACCGCAUACGUCCUACGGGAGAAAGCAGGGGAUCUUCGGAACUUGCGCUAAUAGAUGAGCCUAAGUCGGAUUAGCUAGUUGGUGGGGUAAAGGCCUACCAAGGCGACGAUCUGUAGCGGGUCUGAGAGGAUGAUCCGCCACACUGGGACUGAGACACGGCCCAGACUCCUACGGGAGGCAGCAGUGGGGAAUAUUGGACAAUGGGGGGAACCCUGAUCCAGCCAUGCCGCGUGUGUGAAGAAGGCCUUAUGGUUGUAAAGCACUUUAAGCGAGGAGGAGGCUACUGAGACUAAUACUCUUGGAUAGUGGACGUUACUCGCAGAAUAAGCACCGGCUAACUCUGUGCCAGCAGCCGCGGUAACAC